rnacentral:misc_RNA from 1 species
AAGUCGUAACAAGGUUUCCGUAGGUGAACCUGCGGAAGGAUCAUUCACAAAUAUAACUUUACCUUUUCAAGUUCUUUCAAAAUCAAGUUUGUUUUGUGACAUUACAAUGAGAGCAAGGAAUCCUGUUUUAAACACAAACAUGUCAAUGGUGGAUAUGUUGGUAUAUAC